AUUGAACGCUGGCGGCAGGCCUAACACAUGCAAGUCGAGCGGAUGAAGGGAGCUUGCUCCUGGAUUCAGCGGCGGACGGGUGAGUAAUGCCUAGGAAUCUGCCUGGUAGUGGGGGAUAACGUCCGGAAACGGGCGCUAAUACCGCAUACGUCCUGAGGGAGAAAGUGGGGGAUCUUCGGACCUCACGCUAUCAGAUGAGCCUAGGUCGGAUUAGCUAGUUGGUGGGGUAAAGGCCUACCAAGGCGACGAUCCGUAACUGGUCUGAGAGGAUGAUCAGUCAGACUGGAACUGGGACCCGGUCCAGACACCUACGGGAGGCAGCAGUGGGGAAUAUUGGACAAUGGGCGAAAGCCUGAUCCAGCCAUGCCGCGUGUGUGAAGAAGGUCUUCGGAUUGUAAAGCACUUUAAGUUGGGAGGAAGGGCAGUAAGUUAAUACCUUGCUGUUUUGACGUUACCAACAGAAUAAGCACCGGCUAACUUCGUG
rnacentral:rRNA from 1 species